rnacentral:lncRNA from 1 species
CCGAUCUUAUAUAAACCAAAACAAAUUCAUUUCACCCCUCUUAAACCCUGAUUUCAAUUCAAAGUCGUUCUCUUCUCCAAAUUUGUCCCCAAUCGAUGCAUUUCAUAUCUGGAAUCAUCUUUGUCAAUCCGUUAAAGGUUGACUAUCUAGCACACUUACCAUUUCAGACUACUCUAGUGUGUAUUGAUGUAGAUGAUGGGAGGUCCAGCUAGGUAAACAAAUCAACUGUUAUAUAUAUUCAUGCUUAUAUAGGUAUAUUGUUUAUAUGAAUGAAUAAUAAGGAAUGAGCAAAUGGUAUUGGGUACCGAUACCGAAUUUCUCGAACUGGUUUGAUUUUCGGUACCCGUUCGGUACCGUAUUUAGUGUCUUCGGUACCGGUAUUUACCCUUUUUAUCUUCAAAAAGGGACGGGUUUGGUAACAUGCCAAACAUCAAGUAUCAUUUUUGUUGCAAAAAUUAUAUUAUUUGAAUGAUAAUGUAAUUUUUGUCAAUUAAGUAAUUUAUGGUUUUUUUUUUUUUUUGCAUUAAAUAUACACUUUGGGUGACAUCUAACCCAUUUUACCUGUUAGAGAUUAAAUGACAAGCACUGACCCAAAUAUUAAGGAAAUAUAUGCUUAAGUCUAUGAUAACUUUAUAACUCUUCUUAUAGCGAAGACAUUAAUAUCAUGUUUUUUGUAUGAUUUUAAUUAUGUAUUAAUUAUAAAUACUUUUUAAUAUAAGUAAAUUUUUGAAGCCCGGGAAGCAAUCUCGGGUGAUAACCUAGUUAAAAAUAGGGUUAUUGGAUUUUAUCACCCCCAACUAUCGGCCUUUGGCCGUUGCCACCCGCAACUAACACUUUGACACUCGACACCCCCCAACUUGACUUUUUGUUUGUGCUGGCACCACCCAGUUAAAUCUUCACUAUCUGCGUUUGUUUUUAUCCGACGUGGCACAAAUUUGAUGAUUUGGAGCUAAUUACGUAGCGAUGAUGUGUCACUAUAUCCCAUGUGGCAUGAUGAUGUGGAAAUGGAUCUCUUAUAAACUUAGGGGUUAUUAUAAGGUGUACAAACAAGAUGCACAAACAAAACACAAUCUACACAAGUAAUCUGGAUUUGUGAUUUUUAUAAGGGAUCCUAUUUCACUUCUGUUCUCACAGUCAAAGCUCACAAGCAAACAAAAUCUAAACAAGAUGUAAAACUGAAGAACUGAACGAUCAAACGCAAUCUUCACAAACAAGAUGCAGAUCUGAAGAUCCCAUUUCAUUUCUGCUCUCACUAUUAAAGCUCACAAUAAAACGCAAUCUACACAAACAAGAUGCAGAUCUGAACGAAUUGUUAAUGGAUCGUUGCUCGAUCCUAUACUUACAGCGUUUAAUCAGUCAGUCACUCUCUGGCUCCUCUUGCACAUUGAUCCUAUCCUUACAGCGUUUAAUCAGUCACACUUUCGAAUCUUCAAGCGUUAAGCGUUGUAAAAUAUGCACAUGAUCAUCAAAAUUAGGGCAAAAUCGAACCUGAAGAUCCAGAACCGGUUUCACUUUCUCAACAUACCAUACCGAUCAUGUGAUACCCCAUGAAAACGCAUAACACAACUAGCUUCUCCGGAAACGAUGUGCUAAAUUUCGGGACGAAAUUUCUUUCAACUUGGGGAUAAUGUGACAUCCCGGAAAAACCAGAAAUAGAUUGGUGUUCGGAUGCAAGGAUUUGAGAUAUCCUCAAGAAUGGUUAGGAUACGGUUGGAAGAAAAUGGAUGUCCAACCACAUAUUCUUGGUAUAAUCUUAUGUGCAAUUGAAACUAGCUCAUAAUCUACUCAAUCCAAUAAUAACGUGUUCUUUAUACAACUCGUGUAAUACAUGGUUUGAGAAUUGUUAUUGUAAUUUUUGUUUUUUUUUUUUUUUUCGUUACUUAAAGUAAUAUGUAAUUUCUU